UGGGGAAUAUUGCACAAUGGGCGAAAGCCUGAUGCAGCGACGCCGCGUGGGGGAUGACGGUCUUCGGAUUGUAAACUCCUUUCAGUAGGGACGAAGCGAAAGUGACGGUACCUGCAGAAGAAGCACCGGCCAACUACGUGCCAGCAGCCGCGGUAAUACGUAGGGUGCAAGCGUUGUCCGGAAUUACUGGGCGUAAAGAGCUCGUAGGCGGUUUGUCACGUCGUCUGUGAAAUCCUCCAGCUCAACUGGGGGCGUGCAGGCGAUACGGGCAGACUUGAGUACUACAGGGGAGACUGGAAUUCCUGGUGUAGCGGUGAAAUGCGCAGAUAUCAGGAGGAACACCGGUGGCGAAGGCGGGUCUCUGGGUAGUAACUGACGCUGAGGAGCGAAAGCAUGGGGAGCAAACAGG
rnacentral:rRNA from 2 species